GAGCCUUUUUGUGUAUUUGCAGUCCACAGUAUCGCCCAUAUUAUACUGCAGUUUACCGUGGAAUAAACACCGGGCAGCCAGACAGACAGAAAAGAAGUUACCUGGGAGAGACCUGACAGCUGACUGCAGAGAGGCUGAGCUCCGAUGAUGUACAUCUCUGGCCGCUGGAUCGGGCCCAAAGAGGAAUGGCACAGACAGUGAAUCUGUGAUCUACGACUCUCUCUCUCAGAGAAGGCCAGCACUGCAGAGGACAAAGUUCAGACACAAGUUUAUUAGUACCACUGGCCUAUAAAGAGCAGAUAAAUGGACUGUUCUGGUGUUCAUCACUACAAGCACACUCCUUGUGUUUCCUAUUCUGAAAUGUUUUUCUCUUGAAACCCCUCAAAAGUAACUUUUAUUCAAACAUUUCAGUCAAGUUUGCUUUGAGAACAUGACCAUCUGUAACUGAACAUGCAAGAUGGGACGACAGAAUCCUUGCCGGGCUUGACCAAAGACUUUUUAAAAAAAAGAAAUUUGACCUCUUCAAUCUA